UCCUCUCAUCGGGGCUGUGGGGCUGGCCCCCGCGGGAGGCGGUGGCAGCAGCGAUUGGUCAGGUCUGGGUCCAACAUGGCGGCUAACGCGACCACCAACCCCUCUCAGCUCCUGCCGCUCGAACUUGUGGACAAAUGCAUAGGUUCACGCAUUCAUAUUGUGAUGAAGAGUGAUAAAGAAAUUGUUGGAACACUUCUAGGAUUUGAUGACUUUGUCAAUAUGGUGUUAGAAGAUGUUACAGAAUUUGAGAUUACACCUGAGGGCAGAAGAAUCACAAAGCUAGACCAGAUUUUGCUAAAUGGAAACAACAUAACAAUGGUGUGCAAGGGAAUCACUGGCUUUGUUAAGCACUCUGUAGGCUGGUUCAUACAGUGGCUUUUAACUCAUGAGUGUUUGCCUGCAUAAAUGUGUAGGUGGAAUGCAUCUACACUUUAUCCAUUAUUGUACAUAUAAAUGUGUUUGCAGCAGUUUGGAUGCUUAUAAGCUCGUCAAGUUGUUUGGCAGUUAUGAUACCAUGUGAUGCCCAGAGAGCUGUACCUUUACGUGCUCUGAAAAAAUCCCAAGGUCUGUUGGAUUAUACCAAAUCAGAAGCACUAUGAUUUUUAGUUUAUCAUCUGCUGAUGUAUGUAGAUCAGUACUGAAACAGCAAUUAAAUACUGUGAUUAUGCAUCCCUAAGCUGAAUUCUGCAACUUCCUAAAUACCACAGAAGCAGACCCAGAGCAGUUUUUUGCUUGUCCACAUAGAUGGCUACAAAGUCUGGACUUCAUACAUAAGGGCAUUCCUGAUUUUAUGGGAAGAGGAGAGGAAGACUGACUUGAGUCAAAGUCAGCUCUUUGUGAACGAGGAAUAAUCUCCAUUUUGCUGUCUUACCUACCUUGCACCUCCUCACUCUGGUUCCUGGAGGAGAAGGACCUGAAGUAUAAAUUGAUAUAGUUGUCAUCUGUGAAGACAUGUUAUAUAUACAUAUGUAAUCUAAAAAGAGCUUUUGGAGUAUGGGUGUGGGUGGGUUUUGGCGUGGGUUGUUUGUUUGUUUUGUUUACACACUUUUGCAGUUGACAUUUGAUAAAAGAGAAGGAUUUCCCCUUCAGGAAGGGUGCAUUGCUAAUGAUAAUGCUGAUUUUGUAAGUUGAAAUCAUGACUUUCUUGUAAAGACGUACUAAUUUGUUCUGAAUAAAAGGCUUUCUUUUUGUUA